rnacentral:lncRNA from 1 species
GGUGAAGGUGUGUGUCAGCUUUUGCGUCACUCGAGCCCUGGGCGCUGCUUGCUAAAGAGCCGAGCACGCGGGUCUGUCAUCAUGUCGCGUUACGGGCGGUACGGAGGAGAAACCAAGGUGUAUGUUGGUAACCUGGGAACUGGCGCUGGCAAAGGAGAGUUAGAAAGGGCUUUCAGUUAUUAUGGUCCUUUAAGAACUGUAUGGAUUGCGAGAAAUCCUCCAGGAUUUGCCUUUGUGGAAUUCGAAGAUCCUAGAGAUGCAGAAGAUGCAGUACGAGGACUGGAUGGAAAGGUGAUUUGUGGCUCCCGAGUGAGGGUUGAACUAUCGACAGGCAUGCCUCGGAGAUCACGUUUUGAUAGACCACCUGCCCGACGUCCCUUUGAUCCAAAUGAUAGAUGCUAUGAGUGUGGCGAAAAGGGACAUUAUGCUUAUGAUUGUCAUCGUUACAGCCGGCGAAGAAGAAGCAGGUUUCUUCGUUUGAGUCAGUCGCCUUGAUUCAGAAUGUCACGAGCCUUAUGAUAUCAUGCUGAGGCGCCUUGCAAAUCCGACAAUUAAGAUCCUCCUAGACCUUGAGGUCACGGUCUAGAUCACAUUCUCGAUCCAGAGGAAGGCGAUACUCUCGCUCACGCAGCAGGAGCAGGGGACGAAGGUCAAGGUCAGCAUCUCCUCGACGAUCAAGAUCUAUCUCUCUUCGUAGAUCAAGAUCAGCUUCACUCAGAAGAUCUAGGUCUGGUUCUAUAAAAGGAUCGAGGUAUUUCCAAUCCCCGUCGAGGUCAAGAUCAAGAUCCAGGUCUAUUUCACGACCAAGAAGCAGUCGUUCCCCAUCAGGAAGUCCUCGCAGAAGUGCAAGUCCUGAAAGAAUGGACUGAAGCUCUCAAGUUCACCCUUUAGGGAAAAGUUAUUUUGUUUACAUUAUUAUAAGGGAUUUGUGAUGUCUGUAAAGUGUAACCUAGGAAAGAUAAUUCAACCAUCUAAUCAAAAUGGAUCUGGAUUACUAUGUAAAUUCACAGCAGUAAGAUAAUAUAAAUUUUGUUGAAUGUAUUAACAU